AGAGUUUGAUCAUGGCUCAGGAUGAACGCUGGCGGCGUGCUUAACACAUGCAAGUCGAACGGGAAAUAUUUCAUUGAGACUUCGGUGGAUUUGAUCUAUUUCUAGUGGCGGACGGGUGAGUAACGCGUGGGUAACCUGCCUUAUACAGGGGGAUAACAGUCAGAAAUGGCUGCUAAUACCGCAUAAGCGCACAGAGCUGCAUGGCUCAGUGUGAAAAACUCCGGUGGUAUAAGAUGGACCCGCGUUGGAUUAGCUGGUUGGUGGGGUAACGGCCCACCAAGGCGACGAUCCAUAGCCGGCCUGAGAGGGUGAACGGCCACAUUGGGACUGAGACACGGCCCAGACUCCUACGAGAGGCAGCAGUGGGGAAUAUUGCACAAUGGGGGAAACCCUGAUGCAGCGACGCCGCGUGGAGGAAGAAGGUCUUCGGAUUGUAAACUCCUGUUGUUGAGGAAGAUAAUGACGGUACUCAACAAGGAAGUGACGGCUAACUACGUGCCAGCAGCCGCGGUAAAACGUAGGUCACAAGCGUUGUCCGGAAUUACUGGGUGUAAAGGGAGCGCAGGCGGGCGAUCAAGUUGGAAGUGAAAUCCAUGGGCUCAACCCAUGAACUGCUUUCAAAACUGAUUGACUUGAGUAGUGCAGAGGUAGGCGGAAUUCCCGGUGUAGCGGUGGAAUGCGUAGAUAUCGGGAGGAACACCAGUGGCGAAGGCGGCCUACUGGGCACCAACUGACGCUGAGGCUCGAAAGUGUGGGUAGCAAACAGGAUUAGAUACCCUGGUAGUCCACACCGUAAACGAUGAUUACUAGGUGUUGGAGGAUUGACCCUUUCAGUGCCGCAGUUAACACAAUAAGUAAUCCACCUGGGGAGUACGACCGCAAGGUUGAAACUCAAAGGAAUUGACGGGGGCCCGCACAAGCAGUGGAGUAUGUGGUUUAAUUCGACGCAACGCGAAGAACCUUACCAAGUCUUGACAUCCUGCGACGAUGCUAGAAAUAGUAUUUUCCUUCGGGACGCAGAGACAGGUGGUGCAUGGUUGUCGUCAGCUCGUGUCGUGAGAUGUUGGGUUAAGUCCCGCAACGAGCGCACCCCUUAUGGUCAGUUACUACGCAAGAGGACUCUGGCCAGACUGCCGUUGACAAAACGGAGGAAGGUGGGGAUGACGUCAAAUCAUCAUGCCCUUUAUGACUUGGGCUACACACGUACUACAAUGGCGUUAAACAAAGAGAAGCAAGACCGCGAGGUGGAGCAAAACUCAGAAACAACGUCCCAGUUCGGACUGCAGGCUGCAACUCGCCUGCACGAAGUCGGAAUUGCUAGUAAUCGCAGAUCAGCAUGCUGCGGUGAAUACGUUCCCGGGCCUUGUACACACCGCCCGUCACACCAUGAGAGCCGGGGGGACCCGAAGUCGGUAGUCUAACCGCAAGGAGGACGCCGCCGAAGGUAAAACUGGUGAUUGGGGUGAAGUCGUAACAAGGUA
rnacentral:rRNA from 1 species